rnacentral:tRNA from 1 species
GCAGGUGUGGCGGAAUGGCAGACGCAUCAGACUCAAAAUCUGACGGGUUCACGCUCGUGCGGGUUCAAGUCCCGCCACCUGCA